rnacentral:lncRNA from 1 species
UCUCUCUUAGCUUAUCUUUCCCUCUCUAAACUUUUAACUCUUUUUCUCUCUAAGUUAAGCUCUCUCGACCCCUCUUUUUCUAAAACCUCAACUCUCUCACGCCCUCUAAUCUCGACUCUAUCUCUCUCCCUAUUUUUUUAAUUAUGCUCUCUCUCCUCUCUCUCUAAAAUCUCAAAUCUGUUGCUCCCUCUAACCCCAAAUCUCUCUAUUUAAGCUAACUCUUCCUCUCUUUUUGUCUCUUCACAUCUCUAACUUAAGAAACUCUCUUUAUAAUCUCAAUUUUCUCUUCCUUUAACUGAUCGUCCCUAGAGCAAGUGGCAAAGGGUUUGGUGGUUGGUACCCGAGACCCAAGUUCGAAUCCUAGUUGAUUCACAUUUCUAGCUAAGUUUAUUUCUAAAUGAAAUACACGAAGCGGGUAGCGUGCUACCUAUCUCUCAAAAAAAAACUCUCUUCCUUUAACUUCAAAUUUUUCUCUCUCUAAGCUAAGUUCUCUCAAUUUACCUACAAAUAAAAUUUUCAUUAUUGUUGAAAAGAAAAGGUAUAUUUGUCGUUAUUUUGUUUAUUACUAUUUGAUCAUUGAUAUCUAUCCGAUUUUUUCUAAAAAGAUGUUGAAAUUUUUGAUAGCAUUAUUUGAAAUUAAUUAACAAAACAAAUACAUUAAUUGUAUAUUUUUAGUAANUAAGUUCUCUCAAUUUACCUACAAAUAAAAUUUUCAUUAUUGUUGAAA